AUUGAACGCUGGCGGCAGGCCUAACACAUGCAAGUCGAACGAGUGGCGGACGGGUGAGUAAUGUCUGGGAAACUGCCGGAUGGAGGGGGAUAACUACUGGAAACGGUAGCUAAUACCGCAUACCAUCAGAUGUGCCCAGAUGGGAUUAGCUAGUAGGUGGGGUAACGGCUCACCAAGGCGACGACCCCUAGGUGGUCUGAGAGGAUGAACAGCCACACUGGAACUGAGACACGGUCCAGACCCCUACGGGAGGCAGCAGUGGGGAAUAUUGCACAAUGGGCGCAAGCCUGAUGCAGCCAUGCCGCGUGUAUGAAGAAGGCCUUCGGGUUGUAAAGUACUUUCAGCGGGGAGGCGUUACCCGCAGAAGAAGCACCGGCUAACUCCGUGCCAGCCGCCGCGGUAAUUC
rnacentral:rRNA from 1 species